UCGGACCAAUUAAUGCCAGAUAUAAAAUAAUUAGGCCUCAGAAAGCUUGCACUGCGAAAAUAAUGAAUUCGUUUAGUAGACUUCUCUGAUUUUAUUUAUUACGGUACCGAUGUCCAUUGUCACUUCGAAAGUAGGAUGAGUAAGAGCCUUUACAAACCUUUUCAAUUUCUAUUUGAUACUCGUGCUUUUGAACUGUUUCGAUAAUUUUAUGAAAAGCGUUAUUGUAUUUAGUCGGUGAAAGAGUUUUUUCGAAAAAUAUACUCUUUUCUUUGCAUUUUCUUAUAAAGCGGAAAAUAUGUAUAAGCGAAAACUCUAAGCAGUUUGAGGUGUCACGAGAAUCCCUCGAUGAUAUCCAACAAAUCGGAAAUUUUCACAGCAGCGGUCAUUUCGAUUGCAGUCUUACUUGCUUCCUGACGCAAGUCGUCAUCGUCCAGCUCGAAAUUCGCAUUCUUAGCCCAAUUGUUCUCUUUGUCCCUUAGAAAUAGUAUUCCAGUGAAUCAGAUUGACUGCUCAAUUUCGUCGACGUCACAACAUCUAGAAACGAUAUUCUGCUUUGUGGGAACAUGCCGCAAUGUAGCUUCUUAGAUAAUUCUUGAAUUUUCCCUACCCUAUUUGAAACAAAUGUCGACAACGAAGAUGGAUGAUAUCGAGUCCAGCGAAAAGUAACUUCAAUCCAACCAUUAUACAGGAUUCAUAGUUGCCUCUCCUCCACACUAUGAGUUAAAACUUCCUAGCCGCUUCAUAAACCAUCACUUGACGAUACAUCCGAGCAGCCGGAAGCGGAGUAGCGUGGAGAACAGUCCGCCCCACCAUCAGAAUGCAAACUGAAACAAGAAGCAUCAUACACGACGCGCAACUUUGUCUGCGUACUCUUGGCCCUUAACACGCAUUUAUGGGGAAUGACAUAAUAUGGAGUGAAAAGGAUUUGGUUGUCUGUAGGCCACAUUUUUCCUGGGCUCAUAAAUUCCAAGUUCAUGGUCUUCAUGUUAGGAUCUCGAGACAACCUUUGCUCAAGUGACAAAAACAUUUUUGCAACCUCGAAGGAGUUGUCCAACCCAUUUAGAUCGGACAACCCAUUUAAAUGACAGCCUAUCUUCAAACCGACCUGAUGGCAAUACCUGAGAAAUCUUUCUGUAACAUGUGCUCAGGCUACAGAAUUUUCUUUGGAUUUGGCAUUUCCUCCAGUGACCAAAAUUUCUGUAAUGUGCUGUCAAUCGAUUCUAACGGUACUUCACUACAACUGAAACUAUUCACAACUUAAUUCGGGCCGCAGAUUUGUAUCGUCCGAGACAACGCAACCAAUAAGGGUCUUUGGUAAAGUUGGAUAAUAAGGACCUAGACAAUUUGACCAACAGCUAGCAAUUCGAAAAAUGAUUCUGCUUCUAUAGGCGUAUCAAUUUUUUGUGACAUGGAAACAGGGGUCUGCUAAUGGUAGGUUCUUUGGGAACUUAAAAUCAAAAUUUGGUUUUUAAAAACAUUAACUUAUGAUAUCAGAUUGUGGCCAGAACUUGUGCGUAAGUGGUUCGUGAUCGGUAUAGAUUUUUACCUUUGAUAUCCCUUAAUGAAAUAAACAACUCAAUGUAUGGCUAGCAUUUCUUCCUUUGCCGUUUCGUAUAGUUCUACGGUUUUGGAAAGGGUUCUAGAUCUAAAUACAAUUGGUCUGUCGGAUUGUGCUAAUACUGCUCCUAUCGCAUAGUCAGAGCCUUCGUGGUAAGUGUGAAUUGCUAUUAGUGUACUUUUCAAAUGCUUUUAUUGCUUUAUUGAUUAUAAGUGAAUCAAUUUGAAAUGCGUCCGUUUCCCCCUCUAAUCAAAUCAGUCAGUGGCUUGGUCAUUGUAAAAUAGCCCAGUAUAAACCUCUUGUGGUAUCCUGAUAGCCGAAGAAAGAAUCUUAAUUACCAGGGUUAAUCUUCAGGGUUUUUGGUCGCGGAUAAUUAGCUGGUCUCAAGAUCGAAAAGGCAGCCAUCGACGCAGUUCGAGACCGCCAAAGCCUCCGAGAUGCGUCAAAAGUACGGGAGGGAACUAGUGAAGGGCGUUUCCAACUGGCCGUGGAUCGCAGAGCUGGGGUUCUUGGAACCUCUUAAAAUAAAUUAUUUAAUUCUUCUUUAAAUAAUUUAGCAAAAUAAAUAUUUUAUACUUCGGGUUUUCAGGCAACGCGCGAGGUGCCCGUGGAGAACGGGGUGCUAGAGCUUGCCAUCGCCUUGCAAUCUGACCAAAAUUCCCAGCUAGUGGACUCGUGGCUCUUUAGUCAUGCAGAACAAGAAAGAAAGUGAUCGGUUUUAGAAGACCUUCUUGGAGUCUGGCUCAGCUUUUUAACGAGGCGAUCAAAUUACAUAUGUGUACUUGUAAAACUUAAUAAAUUAAAACAAAAUUAA